GGUUGUGGCUCAGUGGUAGAGCACUUGCCUAGCAUGUGAAAGGCCCUGGGUUCCAUCCUCAGCACCA
rnacentral:tRNA from 1 species